GUGCUCGGCUGGGAUUUGAACCCAGGACUAGACACAUCACCAACUAAGCUACCAACUAAGCUACCGAGCC
rnacentral:tRNA from 1 species